GGCUGAAAUUCGCCUUCAUGAAGCUGGAAUUGCUAGUAAUGGCAGGUCAGCAUACUGCCGUGAAUACGUUCCCGGGCCUUGUACACACCGCCCGUCACACCAUGAGAGUUGGAAAUACCCGAAGCCUGUGAGCUAACUGUAAAGAGGCAGCAGUCGAAGGUAGAGCCAAUGAUUGGGGUGAAGUCGUAACAAGGUACC
rnacentral:rRNA from 1 species